GAUUCCUUUCUCACAUUGAGAAAAAUGUUGCUGGGAUUGUAAUAGGAAUUGCAUUAAACGUGUAUAUCAAUUUGGGGAGAAUUGAAAUCUUUACUGGGUUGAGUCUUCCAAUCUUUGAACAUGAAAUAGAGACCUUGGGAUUUUCUGCAUAGGCAAGCAUGUCAUGUACAAGUAGAGACGACUUUUGUUUUUUCUUUUCUGAUUUGUAUGCCUUUAAUUUUUUGCCUUACU